AGGAUUACCGGCACCUGGUCAGGAGCACCCGGGGAUUCGGAAUCUCUGCCUUUGCGGGACAACAGGAAAGGGUAAGUCAGUGGCUGAUCAACCAUGAGUUUGAGGAGCAAGAUGAAGAAUGUACAUGUUCAAGCCAUAUCAGACCAAGCGGGUUAAGGGUCUAUCAGUGAUGAACUUUUGAAUUCUAUUUUGCCGUUUAGGUCGGCUAGAAAUAAAUGACUUGUAAUAGCGUUUGUAAAUAUUUUUGGGAUCCCAACUAUUUUAAAAGUUUUAAAUAUAUUACAAGUUUAUUUUCUUUCUGUUUAAUAUAAAAGUUUAAAUUCUGCGCUA